GAUGAACGCUGACAGAAUGCUUAACACAUGCAAGUCAACUUGAAUUUGGGUGGCGGACGGGUGAGUAACGCGUAAAGAACUUGCCUCACAGCUAGGGACAACAUUUAGAAAUGAAUGCUAAUACCUGAUAUUAUGAUUUUAAGGCAUCUUAGAAUUAUGAAAGCUAUAAGCACUGUGAGAGAGCUUUGCGUCCCAUUAGCUAGUUGGAGAGGUAACAGCUCACCAAGGCGAUGAUGGGUAGCCGGCCUGAGAGGGUGAACGGCCACAAGGGGACUGAGACACGGCCCUUACUCCUACGGGAGGCAGCAGUGGGGAAUAUUGGACAAUGGACCGAGAGUCUGAUCCAGCAAUUCUGUGUGCACGAUGAAGUUUUUCGGAAUGUAAAGUGCUUUCAGUUGGGAAGAAAGAAAUGACGGUACCAACAGAAGAAGUGACGGCUAAAUACGUGCCAGCCGCCGCCGUAACAC
rnacentral:rRNA from 1 species